rnacentral:rRNA from 1 species
ACUCAAAGAUUAAGCCAUGCAUGUCUCAGUACAGCCUAGACAAAGUGAAACCGCAAACAGCUCAUUAAAUCAGUUGCAACUUCCUUGCUCUCGAUCUCUUAAAUGGAUAACUGUGGUAAAUCUAGAGCUAAUACAUGAAAACUUGUUCUGCUGGCAACAGCAGAUCGCAUUUUAUUGGACCCAGAUCAUAGGCUGCUUUCGGGCAGCUUUUACAUCAGAGGUGACUCUAGAUAACAUUCAGCUAUCACUUAAGUCCUCUUCGAGCGACGGUGAAGUGUAAUUCAGACUUCUGCCUUAUCAACUAAUGUUGGUAGGCGACGGGACUACCAAGGUGGUCACGAGUAACGGGGAAUAUGGGUUUUAUUCCGGAGAAGGAGCCUGAGAAACGGCUACUACAUCUAAGGGUGGCAGCAGGCGCGCAAUUUGCCCAAUUUUAGAUGUAGGAGGCAGUGACGAGACAUAAACAUUGGUGAGCGCAGUUUUUCAAUUGCGUUUCACCAUUUUAAUUGUGAUUGAGCACAAUGUAAAUGCUUUGGCGAUAAUCUAUUGGAGGGCAAGUCUGGUGCCAGCAGCCGCGGUAAUUCCAGCUCCAAUAGCGUAUAUUAAUAUUGUUGCGGUUAAAAAGCUCAUAGUUUAAACUUGAACAGCAGCUGUUCUGGUCUCCCUUCUGGGCGCCUUGUGCGUUCUGGUUGGGCUUGCAUGGUCAGGCGGCAGUGUCGUUCGUUUUUGGCGUUUGCUGGUCGUAUUGUGAUACGUGCCUAAGCAGCGUCAGCGAUUACUUUGACUAAAUCAGAGUGAUCAAAACAGGCUCGUUUUGCACGGCCUUGAGUGCUCUAGCAUGGAAUAAUAGAAAAGGACUCGAUCUGGUCCGAUGGUGUAAAGCCAACUAUGGUCUUCGGUACCUCGAGUAAUGAUUAAAAGGGAUUGACGGGGGCAGUCGUAUUGCUGGGCUAGCGGUGAAAUGCAAUGACCCUGGUAAGACGUCCGAAAGCGAAAGCAUCUGCCUAGGAUGUUUUCAUUAAUCAAGAGCGAAAGUUAGAGGUGCGAAGGCGAUUAGAUACCGCCCUAGUUCUAACCAUAAACGAUGCCGACCAGCAGUCAGUCUGAGAAUUCAAGCAAUACAAAUUGAGUAAUCAAUCUUGAAUUAGACUGGCUCUCACGGAGAAAUCAGAGUGAUUAGGCUCCGGGGGAAGUAUGGUUGCAAGGCUGAAACUUAAAGGAAUUGACGGAGGGGCACCACAAGGAGUGGAGCUUGCGGCUUAAUUUGACUCAACACGGGAAAACUUACCAGGAUAAUACACUGUGACGAUUGACAGGCUAGAGACCUUUCUUGAUUUAGUGAAUAGUGGUGCAUGGCCGUUAUUAGUUCGUGGGGUGGCCUGUCAGGUUGAUUCCGAAGAACGAACAAGACCCUAGCCUGUUUUUUUCUGCCAACUACCUACGUGCUUCGGUGCGAACGGUAGCUUGUGUAGACAUAAAGGGAUCAAUGACGUUUUCUAUUUACAAUGUAGUCGUAGAGAAAUGGAGAACAAUAACAGGUCUGUAUGCCCUUUGAUAUCUUGGGCCGCACGCGAGCUACAUUGAAGGGUACAAUGAGUGUAGAUUCAAUCGAUUCCUGCUCUGAAAAGAGCUGGGCAAUCUUUGAAUUCCCUUCACCUCUGGGAUUGAGCUUUGUAAUCUUAGUUCAUGAACGAGGAAUUCCUUGUAAAUGCGAGUCAUCAGCUUGCGUUGAAUACGUCCCUGCCCCUUGUACACACCGCCCGUCGCUACUACCGAUGAAUUGCUUAGCAAGGACGAUGGACGGCUGGAUGCAUGCUGGCGUUUCGGCGUUAGAAGCAUCAAACUGAAAGUCGUCCAAGCUUGUCAGUUUAGAGGAAGUAAAAGUCGUAA